CGUUUCGAAGUGGUGUGUUUCUUUAGCGUUUUCUCGGCGAUGGUAGAAUAAUCUUGACGAAAUAGCACGAGAACGAAGCAGAAAAGUAGAACCGAUUUCGCCAACAUCCUGAGUGUCUGAUAGUUUGGUAUACUGCUUGCGCCUUGCGGGCACAAUGAAAUGCCCUCUUCAAAGAAACUCUUAGAUAGCACUUAACAGGUUAACACUUUAAUAUUAACCGAAAUAUUGUGUUAGUGAAUUGAAUUCUGCCCAGCAAGUUGGUGGCUUGUGUGUCGUAACAAUAUAUCAGUUAUUUAAAUUUAACGAGCCGCAAUGUUGUAUGGCACUCUGUGUGUAGUCCUGUCGAGUGUCGAUAUAUGAAGCAAGCGCUCUGUAGAGGUGAUGACUAGCAAUGCUUUGACUCACAGAGGGAUAUCCAUUCUUUCCUCAAUGAAGCUAUUCCACACAGUCAUCAGACAUGGUUCACAGGCGACGU